rnacentral:rRNA from 1 species
GACUCUGGGUGGUGGAUGACUUGGCUCAUUUGUCUACUAAGAAUGUAGCUAGCUGUAAGAGUUAUCGUGAAUGGAGGACACAUUGAUCACUGACAGUUUGAACUCAAUUAUGGCCCUGGGUUCAUUGCGUGGCUAUGCCUGUCUGAGCAUUA